UGCCAGGAAUCUCCUUUUAGCUCCCCUAAU
rnacentral:piRNA from 1 species